rnacentral:rRNA from 1 species
UACGUAGGGUGCAAGCGUUGUCCGGAAUUAUUGGGCGUAAAGAGCUCGUAGGCGGUUUGUCGCGUCUGCUGUGAAAAUCCGGGGCUCAACCCCGGACUUGCAGUGGGUACGGGCAGACUGGAGUGUGGUAGGGGGAGACUGGAAUUCCUGGUGUAGCGGUGGAAUGCGCAGAUAUCAGGAGGAACACCGGCGGCGAAGGCGGCUUCCUGGCCCAAUACUGACGUUCAGGUACGAAAAGCGUGGGUAGCAAACAGG